rnacentral:rRNA from 1 species
GAUAUGAACUCUCCGAAAAAAUUACGCUGUUAUCCCUAAGGUAAGUUAAUCAUAUAAUCAAAAAUUUUGGAUCAAAAAAACAUAAAUUAAUGAAAAAAAAAUUAAAAGUUAAAUAAAUUUUAAUGUCACCCCAACAAAACUUUAUAUUCUAAAAAAUUAUUAAAUAAACAAAAAAUAAUAAUUAAUAAAUAAAGUAAACUUCUAUAGGGUCUUCUCGUCCUAUAAAAAAAUUUUAGCUUUUUAACUAAAAAAUUAAAUUCAAAAUAAUUAAAAAAAGAAAGUUUAUUUUUCAUCAAACCAUUCAUACUAGCCUUCAAUUAAAAGACAAAUGAUUAUGCUACCUUCGUACAGUUAAAAUACCGCAGCCUUUUAAUUCAUAAAAAUCAAUGGGCAGGUCAGAUCUUAAAUUAAAAUCAAAAGACC